rnacentral:rRNA from 1 species
UAUGAGAGUUUGAUCCUGGCUCAGGACGAACGCUGGCGGCGUGCCUAAUACAUGCAAGUCGAACGCUUCUUUCCUCCCGAGUGCUUGCACUCAAUUGGAAAGAGGAGUGGCGGACGGGUGAGUAACACGUGGGUAACCUACCCAUCAGAGGGGGAUAACACUUGGAAACAGGUGCUAAUACCGCAUAACAGUUUAUGCCGCAUGGCAUAAGAGUGAAAGGCGCUUUCGGGUGUCGCUGAUGGAUGGACCCGCGGUGCAUUAGCUAGUUGGUGAGGUAACGGCUCACCAAGGCCACGAUGCAUAGCCGACCUGAGAGGGUGAUCGGCCACACUGGGACUGAGACACGGCCCAGACUCCUACGGGAGGCAGCAGUAGGGAAUCUUCGGCAAUGGACGAAAGUCUGACCGAGCAACGCCGCGUGAGUGAAGAAGGUUUUCGGAUCGUAAAACUCUGUUGUUAGAGAAGAACAAGGACGUUAGUAACUGAACGUCCCCUGACGGUAUCUAACCAGAAAGCCACGGCUAACUACGUGCCAGCAGCCGCGGUAAUACGUAGGUGGCAAGCGUUGUCCGGAUUUAUUGGGCGUAAAGCGAGCGCAGGCGGUUUCUUAAGUCUGAUGUGAAAGCCCCCGGCUCAACCGGGGAGGGUCAUUGGAAACUGGG